AUUUGGCAUUUAAAAACAAAAGGAAGGUUUCCAACUUUCCUCACAUCUCUCGAAACUACCAGCGUCAGAACUCACAAAACCCUUUGAUUUUCCGAUUGGAAGGCUCAAGGCUCUUCUUCCUCUAUAUCCUUCUCCCACGGCCUAAUCUAAGGUCUAACCUUGCGGUCGGUCAUUCGUCGUUGUCGUACGAUAAAUCCGAUCUUGAAUUGGAACUAGGGCAUAAUUGGGGAAAUUUAUUUGGUCUGCUAACUACAGGCAUUUAACCUUUCAGUAGCUUUCAUUUCUCAAGUGUUUUGAUCCUUAAGCUUCAAGAUGCCAGCCACUGCUGGAAGGGUUCGCAUGCCUGCGAACAAUAGGGUACACAGUAGUGCUGCUCUACAGACUCACGGUAUAUGGCAAAGUGCAAUUGGAUAUGACCCAUAUGCACCGAACAAGGAUGAUAACAAGAAUUCUGCCCAGCAAAACACAGCUAGCUCUGAGCCAGAUGCAGAGAAUGCAUAUGCUAGCUUUCAGGGUCUUCUUGCACUUGCUCGCAUAACUGGUUCCAAUGCCAAUGAGGUUCGUGGUGCUUGCAAGAGAUGUGGCCGCGUCGGGCACCUUAGUUUUCAGUGCCGGAAUUUCUUGAGUGUUAAGAAUGACAAGGAGAAAGACCCUGAAGCUAUUCAAGCUGAUGUUAUGUCGGAACUGGAUAAAUUAAAAGGGGGUAAAGGAAAAGUUGAAAGUGAGGAGGAGAGUGAAGAGGAAGAGAGUGAAAGUUCUGAUUCAGAUGCUGACUCAGAAAUUGAAAGGAUUAUUGCUGAAAGAGAAGGGAAAAGAAAUAGUAAGAAAAGGUCAUUGAAAAGAAAGGAUGAUUCAAUCGAUGAUGGAUCAGGUUCAGAUUCAAGAGAGAAGAAGAGGGGGAGGUCUAAAAGGAGGAGCAGAAGAGAUUCCAAUGAUUUAGAUGACAGCAGAAGGAAGAGGAGAAAGGAGAAGUGCAGGAAAAGAGACGAUUCAUCGGAUGAUGAUGAAAAACAUAGGCGACAUCAUAGGAAGAGUAGAAAAGAAAAAAGAAGGAGAAGAAGCCAUAGAUAUUCGGAUGAUUCAGAUUCUGAUACAUCUGAAGAAACUCAUGGAAGGCACAAACACAAGAGUAGGAAGGCUGCAUCCUUAACUGAUUCUGAAGCUAGCAGCUCUGAUGAUACAAGGGGCAGGGCAAGGAAGCGUUCUGAGAAGAGAAGCAGGAAACAUCGUUAUGAGGAUGAAUAGACCAAGUAGCUUCCUUUAACCCUUCUUUUUCCUAGUUAUAUUCUUAUGGAGCAAAAUUAAGUACCAUGUUAUACAACAUGAUGGAUCCAUUCUCUCUGUUCUUUGCUCAGAGUAUUAGAUCAUACAAUAGUUUAGAUAGGCAAAAUGUUAGUGGGAGAUGACAUGGAUAUUGUGAUCCUUUCUGGUUGCUGUGGAUUUAUCAAUAACGAACCCAGCCAUGGUUUGCUCUAGACACGACCACGGCUGAAGUUAAUUGUGGUGUUGCAUUCAUAUGGAAGCUGUAUUUUGUUGUGUAUAUUUAUGCUUAUUGCAAAUCAAAAUUUGAACAAACUGAAUAGAUCGGGAGGUUGAAGGGAACAGAAUAUCUUUCCAAAUACGCAUGGUUGUUCUUUGUUGAUUUUUUCUAAAUUCUGAAUUGGAUUUGGAAUGUAUAAUUUUAUUGAAUUCAAUGCCUACUCAUCUUAUCUA